rnacentral:rRNA from 1 species
CCUACGGGAGGCAGCAGUGGGGAAUAUUGGACAAUGGGCGCAAGCCUGAUCCAGCAAUGCCGCGUGAGUGAUGAAGGCCUUAGGGUCGUAAAGCUCUUUUACCAGGGAUGAUAAUGACAGUACCUGGAGAAUAAGCUCCGGCUAACUCCGUGCCAGCAGCCGCGGUAAUACGGAGGGAGCUAGCGUUGUUCGGAAUUACUGGGCGUAAAGCGUACGUAGGCGGUUAUUCAAGUCAGAGGUGAAAGCCCGGGGCUCAACCCCGGAACGGCCUUUGAAACUAGGUAGCUAGAAUCUUGGAGAGGUCAGUGGAAUUCCGAGUGUAGAGGUGAAAUUCGUAGAUAUUCGGAAGAACACCAGUGGCGAAGGCGACUGACUGGACAAGUAUUGACGCUGAGGUACGAAAGCGUGGGGAGCAAACAGGAUUAGAUACCCUGGUAGUCCACGCCGUAAACGAUGAUAACUAGCUGUUCGGGCACUUGGUGCUUGAGUGGCGCAGCUAACGCAUUAAGUUAUCCGCCUGGGGAGUACGGUCGCAAGNUUAAAACUCAAAUGAAAUUGACGGCUUGAGAGUUGCGAGCGACACGAGGGAGAGG